ensembl:snRNA U6 U6 spliceosomal RNA
GUGCUUGCUUUGGCAGCACAUAUACUAAAAUUGGAACAAUACAGAAAAAAUUAGCAUGGUCCCUGAGCAAGGAUGACACCCACAUUUGUGAAGCAUUCCAUAGUUUU